GAUGAACGCUGGCGGCGUGCCUAAUACAUGCAAGUCGAGCGAACAGACGAGGAGCUUGCUCCUCUGACGUUAGCGGCGGACGGGUGAGUAGCACGUGGAUAACCUACCUAUAAGACUGGGAUAACUUCGGGAAACCGGAGCUAAUACCGGAUAAUAUAUUGAACCGCAUGGUUCAAUAGUGAAAGACGGUUUUGCUGUCACUUAUAGAUGGAUCCGCGCCGAAUUAGCUAGUUGGUAAGGUAACGGCUUACCAAGGCAACGAUGCGUAGCCGACCUGAGAGGGUGAUGGGCCACACGGGAACGGAGACACGGUCAAGACUCCUACGGGAGGCAGCAGAAGGGAAUCUUCCGAAAUGGGCGAAAGCCUGACGGAGCAACGCCGCGGGAGGGAGGAAGUUCUUCGGAUCUUAAAACUCUGUUAUUAGGGAAGAACAAAUGUGUAAGUAACUAUGCACGUCUUGACGGUACCUAAUCAGAAAGCCACGGCUAACUACGUG
rnacentral:rRNA from 1 species